AGAGUUUGAUCCUGGCUCAGAAUCAACGCUGGCGGCGUGCCUAACACAUGCAAGUCGAACGCGAAAGUCCCUUCGGGGGCAAGUAGAGUGGCGUCCGGGUGAGUAACACGUGGGUAAUCUACCUCCGGGUGGGGAAUAACACCUCGAAAGAGGUGCUAAUACCGCAUAAUGCAGCGGCACCUAAUGGUGAUUGGUUGUUA
rnacentral:rRNA from 1 species